rnacentral:misc_RNA from 1 species
GAUGAAGAACGUAGCGAAAUGCGAUAAGUAAUGUGAAUUGCAGAAUUCAGUGAAUCAUCGAAUCUUUGAACGCACAUUGCGCCCCUUGGUAUUCCGAGGGGCAUGCCUGUUCGAGCGUCAUUAUAACCCUUCAAGCUCAGCUUGGUGUUGGGGCCUGCUGUAACUGGUAGCCCUUAAAAUCAGUGGCAGUGCUAUUAGGCUCUAAGCGUAGUAAUUCUUCUCGCUAUAGUGUGUAGUGAGCGCUUGCCAGAACCCCAAACUUUUAUAUGAUUGACCUCGGAUCAGGUAGGGAAACCCGCUGAACUUAAGCAUAUCAAUAAGCGGAGGA